AUUUUCUUAGUAUCAGUUACAAACAAAAACCGUUUUGUAAGACUUGUUUUUGUUUGUUUUGCUGAUGCAGCCAGAGAAUG
ensembl:miRNA Mir5101 microRNA 5101